UGGCACAGCGAGGUUUGCAGUAAAUAUUAAAAAAAAAAACAAAGGAAAAAUACAGAGCACAAUUUUGCGGAAUAAAAAUCGCGUGUUUUCGUGUUGUGCGUUCCAUUAGCAGGAAUAUUUUCAAAAAUAGCGUGCUUGUGCUGAUCCGGAGCGGAGAACUUAAGUAGUACGACGUCGUCGCGGAAGAUUGCCAUCGUCUACUAAGGGCGAAGCCAGAGUAAACGCGACGAGCGAUGCGACGCGACGCGACUCACGUAAAAGAAUAACAAUCAUUAUCAAAAGGCUGUCAAAUUGCACUGUCGCGUCGCAUCGCUCGUCGCUGCUAAGACUGCUGAAGAGUACAGAUCGUGUCACCGGCUUCGUCUAGUUCUCCAACGCAAAAUAAUCCAACCGCUACAACAAAAAAGAAUUGACUCAUUUGAGUCUAGGGACAUCCACCCCAGUGAGAAAGAACCUGCAUCUGAGGAUGGAAAUGACAUGGUGGAAAACAAGCCCAGCUAUGGCAGUGACGACAUCAACAAUAGCGUCCAAAGUAACCGAAGCGACAAUGAAGACACAUCAAAGGAAUCCUGUGGAUUCCUUUCGGAGAUGCAAAACAUUGCCAAACGGAAAGCCAUCAGAACAUUAUUAUGUCGGAUGAAGAACGUGAUUAGAAAUAACGUGCACCUCCACGGCGGAAUUAUAUGCAUUGUGUGAAAAUUACCUGGAGAACCUCACGGAACAGACGAACAGAAUGAGUGGAAGGAACGUUUCCAGUAUCGUACGAAAAAAAAAACUCGGAAGGGCGCGUUACUAAGAACUGUAUGGCAAAAAAUACACCGAACAGUUGCUGGAACGGUGGACACAGCCGCCUAGUCCGAUAAAGUGUUGAAAGAGAGAAUAGAGAAGGUCCGGGAUGCUCCAAGAUGCUUACCGGAAUCAUUUCAUCAUCAAGCAGAACUAUCCCGGUGUGAUAAGAUAUUAUAAUGUCUAAUUCGGAACGAAGAGACGAGACCUAUUCUAUAAUAGAGUUUACAACAACCAUCAUCCCUCAUAUGUCCCAUCAUCCCAAGGGAUCCUACAUUCAGAGAUAUGCGAAAGCGGCCAUCUUGAGCCAAUCGAGCAUUGAGAGCUGUCAGAAUCUGAGCCAAAUGAGCAUUGUUAUUGUUGCGGAUUGAAAGGUAUUGCGAUUGUAAUGAAAAAGAUUUUACGAAAAGUUUUGUCGAAUAAACAAUUUGUUUUACAUUAGCAAGUUGAAGUAGUCUAGUUUACACUACUAAAAAUCCACACAUAUUUAUUGGCAAAAAUCCAUAGAUUUAACUUAUGAUGUAUAUCAGUGCACACAUAACCAUUCUCCACGCGAACUACUAAUAAAAUAUAUAUCCAAAUAAACUUUAUGUGUGGUCUCGAAUUAGCAAUUAUUUAAUUUAUGUGUGGUUCUAUAUCGAUUAUAUUAGGGUGGAGCUAUUGCAAAAAUUUAUAACGGCGAC